UACGAAGGGGGCUAGCGUUGCUCGGAAUCACUGGGCGUAAAGGGUGCGUAGGCGGGUCUUUAAGUCAGGGGUGAAAUCCUGGAGCUCAACUCCAGAACUGCCUUUGAUACUGGAAAUCUUGAGUAUGGGAGAGGUGAGUGGAACUGCGAGUGUAGAGGUGAAAUUCGUAGAUAUUCGCAAGAACACCAGUGGCGAAGGCGGCUCACUGGCCCAUAACUGACGCUGAGGCACGAAAGCGUGGGGAGCAAACAGG
rnacentral:rRNA from 1 species